UGAACGCUAGCGACAGGCUUAACACAUGCAAGUCGAGGGGUAACAGGGUAGCAAUACCGCUGACGACCGGCGCACGGGUGAGUAACGCGUAUGCAACCUGCCUAUAACUGGGGAAUAGCUCCCUGAAAGGGGAAUUAACACCGCAUAACACUAUUGAUUCGCAUGGAUUGGUAGUUAAAUGUAGCGAUACAGGUUAUAGAUGGGCAUGCGUGACAUUAGCUAGUUGGUGAGGUAACGGCUCACCAAGGCUACGAUGUCUAGGGGUUCUGAGAGGAAGGUCCCCCACACUGGUACUGAGACACGGACCAGACUCCUACGGGAGGCAGCAGUGAGGAAUAUUGGUCAAUGGGCGCAAGCCUGAACCAGCCAUGUCGCGUGCAGGAAGACUGCCCUAUGGGUUGUAAACUGCUUUUAUAGUAGAAGAAACACAUCUACGAGUAGAUGUCUGCCAGUAUACUAUGAAUAAGCAUCGGCUAACUCCGUG
rnacentral:rRNA from 1 species